UACGAUCUAGAAUAAUGAGCAUUAUUCAAAAGAGUUGUUACAAACAUAUAUCGAAUUCGAUCAUUGAAAUUGCUUAAAAAUGGAUAUAGAUACUUCUGUAUUCAGUGGUUCACAAAAGUAUUUUAAUAUUUACUACAGCAAAAUUGUGUGUUUCCAUAUGAGACGUGAUUAUUGUGGUUAUGCUAAUCAAAUUUGGAAUUAAUCUUAUUAAGACUUAUGAAUAAGGUUUAAAACUAUAACUUAAAACGAAGAAUAAAUCCCUCCUUAUCCCCCCACAGUUCUACAAUGAGACUUAAAAUUAAGAGGUAGAUUCAAAUUAACAAAUAAGAAAGUAGAUCUUAGAACUAAAACCUACUUAGAAGUAACGCUAAACUAAUAGUAGAUACCAAGUAGAUACUAAUCUACUUGGGACGAAAUUUCAAAAAUGGAACUAUAGAUAUUCUGUUAAAUCAAUUGUUCCAUUUAGUAAUUUAAUAUUUAAACGAAUUACAUAAAGGAACUUCUAACUUUUCACUCUAAGUGAAAUAACGUAUCUUUGUACAAAAAGUGUGCACAAUGUAUCCCAUGGCAAGUGCUGAUAAUAUAAUACGAUAUAAACGUCUAUUUUAAUUUUAAUUAAAAUUAAGAAGUACGCAUUCCACAUUGCUUGUCUAAACUGAGAGUUAAAAUAAGACUUUAAAAAAACUUAAAAAUAAGCGUACUCCACGCACCAUCUAUCUCUCACAGAACGAUUACAUAGAUCUUUACGAACUGUCGUCUAGUUAUCGCAAAGGCAAGGGAGUCUUUAGAUUUCUAUAUUAUCGAUCGAGAUAAUACCGAUCAAUCGGUUCUUCUCAAUGCUGCUUCACCAUUCGCGCAACACCGAGUUUUAUCAGAUUUCUUACCGAUCGGUAAUGUUCAAAACAUUUCGAUACAAAAUUCAGGGAUUUGUUUUACCAACUUUAAUACUCUCAACUAGCAUUUAAUAGUCAGCAUACAUAUAAAUCAACAACAUUACAUAGUACUUAAUAGUAUAACAUUAUAUAACAACAUCUUAUAAUAUGUUAUUCUACAAUAACAUUAUAAUAUUACAUCUUCUAUACUUAACAGUAAACGAAAUGGACAGUUCAUUAUCUAAUGGAAUAUUAUCUCUCCUUACUGCGUAUUCAAAUAAUUUCGAAUUGGAAAAUCUCUUAUAGUAUUAAAAAGGGAGAAAAAGCUACUACUUGGAAAAAUUAGAAAAUCAUUCUAAUAGACUACCGUUUAAAGCGAUGCAUAUAUUCAAUUACAUAGUUUUCAAUUUUAUUUUCAAUUUCAUACACUAGAACGAUUGCAAAGUUUUGAACGGCACUGUAUAUUUGAACAUUUUUCAUGGAAAAAAGGAAGACUGAAUUUUAUAUAUAAAGACACAAAUUACAAAUAAGACUAUAUCUUUACAUGAUAUUAUUCCGAAACACUUCCACCGAGCAAAAGCAUAUGUAGGUCCCAGAACGGGCAAAUUGAGCAAUUUCGAUGCCAAAUCGAUAAUGAACCCAUUGAUGUAUCUUAUUUUUCCGUAGCAUCGUUUAUAUCCGAUAAAGCGCGUCUUUUUUUGGCAACGACCGCUUUUUCUUUACUUCUUUUAAUCCUGGUUGUCUGGAGUUUUUUAGAAUCACCUCUCACCACGGGUGGUGCCGGAGACUAACACAAGCAACGCUUUUGAUAAAAUGCACCCUAAUGCGUAUCGCUCGUAAAUUCUCGAUUAAAGAAAAUGAACACUGCUGGACGUCUUGAUGUAAAGAGCUCAAGAUAGAAAUAUUUUCUCUCGGUAUUGCCGCUAUUGCUUUAUUAAAAAUACAAAUUUCUGAAAUUUUAUUAAAAAUACUACAGUUUUAUCUUAUUGAUAUUUUCCAGUUUAUCAAGUCCAACGCUGUUUUUGGUAGAUCCACAUAGUAUUUAGUAAUUCCAAGUCCAAAGAAUUGAAAUUAAAAUACGUAUCCGUAUUAAACUUUCUAUUUAUUAAAGAAUAGCAGCGUAAUAAGAGAAUUUCUAGUAUAAGUUUACCGAAUGACAAAGUCUAAGAAUUAUCUGUGUACCAUUUCUGCUUUUUGCACGAUUUGAAAGUACAAAAAAUAUUAAAAUAAUUUCUAUUCAGUCACGAGUACACAGCUGUUCUCACCUUAUAUACAAAUCUCUAAUUUUCCCUAUUUGACGACCGAGAAUAACGAUAACACGCACAGUGUGUCCUGUUUAAACAACUUCCCUAUACUCGUUAAUCAUGUUAGCCAACCGUAAAUAAAUAGACUCUUAGGUAACUUGGAAUUUUUCGAAAUCCAAUGUAUCACCCUGUUGCAUCUCACAACGUUCCUGCAAUACCAUCGAGCAACAUCAUUAAAGCUAAAGAUUCCGCUUGCAACAGGACAUUCUUAGCGGUUAACGUUGUUGAACAAACGUCGGACUAGUCUCGUAACAAAUGGUCGGUUGUCAUGUGGUGACAAUAGCAGCGGUGACAUUCGGCUGGUUAGAAAGAGAAUCGAACGGGCAUCCUAUGCAUCUGGAUGCCGGUUGCAGUUACCGUGGACUAUGGUUUCGCAAUGGUUCGCGGAAGGUCGCCGACGUAAAGGAUUGUCUGCUGCUCUAGGCCGUUGAAACGCAGGUGUUUUCCGACAUGAACGUCGCGACAAGGCUGCCCACGAUGCCUACGAAUGUAUAUCCGGUUGUACCGCGUGCUGCUGCGAUUUGCCUUUCGCAAGGCCGUUUUUCCAGCCUAGCGCUAGCAGCUCCGCUAUAGAAAGUGACGAUUCCUAUGGUUUCUCGAAGAGAUGUAGCCAGAUGCAUACGCACGUCCGAUCGGUAUCUCAGGCUCAGAUUCUCCCUGGCGCCGGCUCUGUUUUGGUUUAGACUCUGCAAUACCAUUCUUUUCUUUCAUCGCGAACGGUCUGCUACGGAAAGUGACGAUUCGUACGGUUGAUCGGAUGUACAGUGGAGGAUAAAAGGAUGUUUAUGGAACGAGAAGCGUGAAGAGAUAUGAUCUUACAAAAUGGAUUUAUAUUUAAUAGAGCAACGAAUAAAUAUAAUUCACUGUUACCAAUAUGUUGCCAGUGGUACGAAUGGGUCGAUGCAACAGAAACGUUUAAUUAAAAAUGAAAAUGAGAAAUGAAAGGAAACGACCAUUCGUCGUAUAAUUAAGUAGUAGACUAUUAAGACGGUAAACUAUCAAAGAUCAAGUUGCGAAACGACGCAUAGAAAUUGGGUGAGUGUAACAUUGUAGCAAAUAAUUUUGUAUAAAUAAUACAAGGUACGUUUUAACGAAUACCCUUAGUACUGUAUAUAUUCUUAUUCUCAUACGUCGUAUUAGUGUUUUUUAAUCGUCAAAAAAAUAUAAAUAAAUAUAAAUAAUUCUACUUUAUAUGUUUCUUUAGAUUUUUUGUAUUUCUAAUUUUCCAACAACUACAUAAAUAUCUACUAAUGAAGCGAGAAAGUUGCGAGAGCAGAUUGGAUUAACGGAGACGCAUAUGUUGCGUCACACGAAACAUCAUUUUCUUUCUUUUUUUUUUUGCGUGAUUCAGUGUUCGUAGAGUUGUUUGCUUUCAAAUUUGAUUAAUUAACCUUCUAAGCAGUCGUUCUCUACAGUUUAUAUACACAGUGGCAUCGUUAAACAAGAUGAUUCACUGAAUAUGACGGAAACGUGUAGCUCGUCAUUAUCUUCUUUGAUACACUCUGUGAUAAGGAAGGUCCUUGAUUGUCUUGAACCGCUAGAUAUAUCUUCAUAAAAGAAAAUGAUAAAAGCUUUGAUUGUAACAAGAAAAGAAAAAGAAAAUGGAAAAAGUGAAUGGAACAGCUGAUAUAGUUUGCAGUAAUAGAGGUGUCAUAGAUUCGUGGCAAUCGUAUGAAUUAUAGUCACUAAGUAAGUCUGACAAUGAAUGUACAUCUUCUACUUUGUUGCUGCAUUACGUACAAUCCUAUUUCUUCUGGUCGAAAGAAGGUGCUUACGUAAAGUUUCAACAGAACGAAAUGAUUCAUUAGUAACACGUAAUUUUUUAUUAUCUUUCUUAAAGCGUACGAUUUUCUAUUGUUUCCUUAAUGGUAGAUUUAUGUUUGCAAUCAUUGAGCGAAGUAAUCGUUUAAUUCAAUCCACAGCAUAAAUCUAAUCAAAUUAAUCUCUCGACAUAUAAUGGCACAUACGUGUAAGCUUAAUUUUUCUUUCGCGCAAUCGCAAUGUCAACGAACGUCUUCGUGAACAACUGUUUUCUACAUGAAAUCAUCAGAAAAUUCAUUGUAGAUGAAGUUUUAAGAUGUUCUUCGAUAUAAAAUCCUGCAUACCAAUAAGACGGAUAUUUCUCGAUAUUUUGUUCAAACAAUGAAGAUAUUUGUCAACGAGAGAAAAAUGUAACUGGAUGGAAACUUCGUGAAAGAACGUGACAAUUUAAACAAAAGAGAAGAAGGAGAAGUAAAAACGAAACGGAAAUUUCAAACUAGUUUCAACGAUACAUUUCUCUUAGACGCCACUUCAAAGUGCACCCCGUAGAUUUUCGACAAAUAAGCAUUCGUAUGCGAGAUCACGUCCUCGAGACGUUUCGUUCGCCGUAACAUAGAAAUCACCGCGUUUCGUUUCGCGAAUUCGGUAUUCCUGUGUCACUGUCACUUGACGAAAUUUCGCGGGCAACCUUCGUAGCCGCGUACUUUCCCGCCUUUUUGUCGCAAUCCACGCGCCUUCGUCUCUCGCUUUGACAAGCGAGAAGAUCGAAACUGUGUCCUUUUUUCUCGAUCAGUCACCAGUUUUGUUACGCAGCCAGUGUAUUCGAGUAAAAUUCUGAUUCGCCAAUAGUCGCGGAUAAACUUUGGAAUAUUCAACGUUAAAAGACAUAGACUGGGUCGUACGAUCCUAAAAUUUCCAAUUCUUAUCCGUUGAGUUUCCUGAAUAAUAAUAUAUGAUAAUAAGUGAGCAAAUAGUAAAACAUAAUUAGAUAUUAUAGCAGAGAAUCGUGAUACAUUACCAUAAAUAAUUUAGGGUAAUAGAUGGACCAAGAGGUAGCCUCGGAAGAACGGAGGAAGAAACGGUAGAUCGUCUGAAGGAUUUAGAGGAGAAAAAGAAAGAGAAACAGGAGUGAAGACUGAUAGUACUUGACGUAGCUGAAAAAGAAGUAGAAUAGGACUGGUCCUGGUCAGCCAACAAUGUUGAUGCAGUCAAGUAGCCAAGUCGAUCUUCUGCGAGUUCCUACAAGAAACAAGUUUGAAGUGGAUACAAUUAUUGAAUCUAGAAAGUAGUAUUAAUUUAUUUGCUUAAACAGCCUCUUAAUAUGUUUUCGUCGGAGUUGCAGAAUUAUUAAUAGAAAAGUACUGUAAUAUAGGAGAAUUCAAUUAACGAGACGUUGCUUCGUAAUCUCAUUCUGGUGAACAGUCAGUUGUCGUAUUGUGGCAAUUAUUCAGACGUUAUGGUUACACGAUAUAGGAAUAAAGUUCAAGAAAGGAAACCGCCCCUUUUCUCUCAAAAUUCGCGAAAUUUCUAAUUCCUUUUAUAAUCUGAGCCGGAAGCACCGAUGACAAAAGAAUUCAUAAAAAGGAGAAACUUUUGCUGAAGACAAACCACGAUGAGCAAACAUAACCGAAGAGUACAAGGAAGAUGCUCGUCGUUCUCCUUUUAAAGCUAUUUAUUUUUCAAUCUAAAAAUUGAUCUGCCUAAAAAAUUGCUCGAAACCUGAUGAACUUCAGUUCCUUGAGCGACUGCAAAUUACACUUCCUGCGAUCCUUGUAACAUUGUUGCUCGAGGGCGCAACACGCUAUACUUUAUGUUUAUACGAAAGAUUUCACUUUUUAUUUGUGAAAUCGGCCAUUUCAUAUUCGACUUAAUAACAAAAAUUGGCAAAUCGGCGCGAGUGUUUCGCAAAAAUCGCGUAUCGGACGAAGAAGUCGAAGGUUCGAAGGAUAAUAUCUCCGCCCACAUUCCCCUGGCUUUUCGAUCUGUAUUUCGAUUAAUCUACAGUCCGAACUCGACCGACCGGCGACGCUAAUCGCGACUUUCACCUUUCCGCGUAAUCGCGAAUCAACGGCUGCCUUGUUUACAACCGUUGGAAAUGAACGCGGUGCCAAAUAAAUCCCGCUCCGAUUUCCCAUCAGGAAGCAAUCUGCAUCCACUGAUUAUCAUCGCAGGGAUUUGCAAUCGCGAAAGUUUCUCUCUAAAUCUCCAAACGAGAGAAAUACAACCUGUAAUACGCGAGCACGAUUUUUUACCACGUCCACUGCCACGAUGGUCAUAGGUGACCCACCUUACAUUCACAAUGAUGAAAAUAAGAUAAAUUUCGUCGACUAGUAACUUUUCCAUGAUGCGGAUGGUUUAGAUUUAACGUGCAGAUUGUCGGAGGAACAGUGUGCACAUUAAACGUUGCAAUGCAAUUAUAGUGUGGGACAAAGUGUGUCAAAUUAACGUUAACGUGUUGCUGAAAGCUUAAUUCUUUUUAGCAAAAUUAUAAGCAAAUUAUAGCAAAGUAGAACUAUCUGAAGACGAUCCGAGUAGUCGUGUAAGCUUCUCAAAAUCUUGAAAUUCUAUGUUGAGCUUCGCGCAGAAUAAUCAAACUCAUAUUUCAUCGAUCAUCAUGAAUAAUCAAAAUCAUAUUUUUAUUAUAUAAUUUUUUAGUAUUUCAUAGGUAAUGUUAAUAAAAUCGUGUAAAUAGCACAUGUAUUAGCAGCGAAAAUAUCGGGCCAUCCCAUAAGUAAUACAGCUUUUUUUAAGAAUUCUAUUCAGAACAAUGGAAGCUGUCAUCGGAGUUAUCAAAAAUUGGAAUGGAAAACUUAAUAGGAAAGAUAGGAAACGAAUUGCAAACAGUACGAGAAAAUUCAUCACCGAUCGAUUAUCAAUAGAUAACUUUUUAUCCUAUUAAUAUUAUAAACGCUUCGAGUCGAAAGAUGAUUUUCCUCGAUUCAAUUUCGCCCAGAGCAGAACGAAGCUUGGUUCUGCCGGGUCGGUUCGUUUCAUAAUCGAUCUAACUACGUUAGAGGAUGUACGGUGGUGCACGAUGUGUCUAUAAACUAUGUUAAACGUGUAAGCUCGCUUGGAGAACCGCUCUCACUUUUUUCUCUUUCUCUCUCACGAUCUUGGUCUCGCUCGCCGGAUCUCUUGGCCUUUAUUUACCCGUCGUCGUCGUCGUCGUCGUCUUCGUCGUCGUCGUCGUUGUUGUUGUUCGCUUCUUUCCGUACUCUGGCGAUUUAAAACGAGAGAAAAAGAGAGAAAGAGAGAGAGAAAGAAGAAGGAAGGCAAAAGAGAGUGCCACGGCGAGGCAGCAGCCAGCCUAGGCGUGAGUCAUCGUGAGAGACAAGAUCUCGAGUAAGGAGGCGGCCUUGAUGCCGCAAAACUGUUCGUAAUAUCGAUACGGGUCCAUGGAUCGCUGGCUUCGAUCGUCGUCAUGCCGUGGCAAUAUCGCUGCUCUGUUAAUCCAUGCCGCCCCGGACACCUCGUCUAGAGAACCUCUUCACACAAUCUUCAAUAAGCUUCAAUAGGGAUAUCGUUUAUAAUCGUUUCGAUCGUGUAGAAAUUCGCUUGCUCGACGUAAAUUAGAGGCAUUUUAGACACAUGGAAGGUAAUUUUGAAAACACGUCGAGCUAUAAACGAUCUAGCUAAAUCUAAUACAAAUCAUCGUUAUCCUAUGAAAGGAUGCUUCGAAACAAUCUAUAGAACAGAUAUCUGCUAUGAAUCAUAAUAGGUACUCGAAGCUAAUGCUAAUCCAAAUUGCUAAUGAAUACGUACGUAAUAGGUAACGAAUAAACACAAACACAUUGUGUAAUCGUAGUAUAUCAAAGAAACCAAGUAGAUAUUGGAAUUUUCUGAAACUGCUGUAUCAUAAUACGUAUCCAAAUCUGGACCCAAGCUGAAUCCAAACAGGUAUUGAAACAACCUAUAGAACAAACAUUUGUCAAAUACCAUGAUACAUAGGCAAACCUAUGCCAAGCCAUAGAUCUUAGGAAAUAAAGGAAAACGACUUACAAAACGAAUCUAUAAACUAUAAUACAUAUGUGUCCAAGUCGAAGUCAUGGUAAUAUCAAAUAACGCUUCAAAACACCCCAUAGAACAAACAUCUGCUAGAAACCAUAAUACGUAGCCAAACCUAUCCCAAACUAUCGUCUUACCAAAUAACGCUCGGGAACAAACAGUGCAAGGAAUAUCUAUAAAUUAUGAUACGUAUGUGUCCAAACCUCAGCCAAACUAUCAUAAUAUCAAGUAACGUUUCAAAACACUCUAUAGAGCAAACAUCUGCUAAAAACCAUAAUACGUAGCCCAACUACGUAUCCCAAACUAUCGUCUUACCAGAUAACGCUUCGGAACAACCUGUGCAACGAAUGUCCAUAAACUACAAUACGUAUGCAUUCAAACCUAAGUCCUCGUCAUAUCAAAUAACGCUUCGGAACACCCCAUAGAACAAACAUCUAGAAACCAUAGUACCCUAUGAACUAACGUAUUUUGAAAUCGCAGCUCACCAAAAAGGAGCCAGAUAGUGGGACAUACUGGUGUCUACUAUUUGCUGGUACGAAGACUAUUUGCCGGCGUUUCGCCUCAUUUGUCGCGAUGCGCCAGGGUUCACGGAUUGUAAUGGCACUCGACUCAGCCACCAAGAGCCUUAAAGCGAGUGCCAAUUAUCGCUGCUCCGUCUUGACGAACGUUCAUCCCCUCCACCUCGCCCCUCUGACUCGUUUCUUUUAUUUCGAUUUUAACGGUAUACGUGGCCGCGAAGGUAGCUCGCCGCGGUCUCCGUGUAUCCAUUAAUCGAGCGGAAUGCGAAAAGUCAUGCUUCGGGAAAAGGGAGGCGGCGGUUUCUUAAAAUACACUCGGGUAAUUGAAGGGCACCGAUAUCGCAAGAAACCAGAGCCGCCUUCUUUCCAUCGUUUUUUCCUUUCUUUCUCUCUCUCUCUCUCUCUCUCUCUCUCUCUUUUGCUCUUUCUUCUUCUUCUGGCUCUCUUUAUGCUAUCGCGAUCGUUAGCCGCAGGAAAAACCAUCGGAGACUUUCUGAUGCUGAGUCGACCGUGAGAUUUUCUAAAGGGGAUUCCACGUUGUACAGGAUUUGUCAAAGAGACGCGGAACACCUUAACGAUUUCUAGGAAUCAAAUCGAUUGUUCGAACAUUUCUUAAUUAGUAAAUGAAAUAUCGUAUCUUAUAGCUUUCGUUUGAUUUAUUUUCAUGAAGCUUCCUCUUGGGAACAGGUUGGAUUUCCAGUUACACUUCUCUUUGGUUUACGUAUCGUUUGGUGUACUUCUCCAAUCACUGAGCUUAAUGUCCCUCGUACUUCAUAUUUAGACUUAAAACAAUUGCAACUUACGCUUAACUUGGAAACGUACCUCUUAUAUUCCUCAUUCUCUAUGUCUUUACUG